rnacentral:rRNA from 1 species
GUGGGGAAUCUUCCGCAAUGGACGAAAGUCUGACGGAGCGACGCCGCGUGAGUGAAGAAGGCCUUCGGGUCGUAAAGCUCUGUCAUCAGGGACGAACGGCCGGUGGAGUGGAAAGCCACCGGAUUGACGGUACCUGAGAAGGAAGCCACGGCUAACUACGUGCCAGCAGCCGGGGUAAUACGUAGGUGGCAAGCGUUGUCCGGAAUUAUUGGGCGUAAAGCGCGCGCAGGUGGGAUCUUAAGUCCAUUUUUAAAGUUCGGAGCUCAACUCCGUGAUGGGAUGGAAACUGGGAUUCUUGAGUACCGGAGAGGAAAGCGGAAUUCCCCGUGUAGCGGUGAAAUGCGUAGAUAUGGGGAGGAACACCAGUGGCGAAGGCGGCUUUCUGGACGGUGUCUGACACUGAGGCGCGAAAGCCAGGGGAGCGAACGGGAUUAGAAACCCCUGUAGUCC